rnacentral:misc_RNA from 1 species
UUUUCCAUGUUAAUCAUAGAACACAAGAAGAACCCAUCUCAUAAGCAAAGAAUUUAUUAUCCAUACAAACACAUAAUACAAGUGAAAAUAGAACUUAUUACGAAGUUUAAAGUAAGGGUCACACUUAGUAAUAACCAAACACCACUGACCAUCAUUCCAUCCACCCUAGCUAUUGCCACCAGGGUGGCAGGGUCACACUCGCAGCUACAACCACAACUUCAACCACCAAUGAGCACCACACAACCACACUGCCAUCCUAAACAGAUGUCUGGUACCCUCCUGAUAUAGCUAUCUAGUCUCUACCACAUGUAAGAUGUCUCAUCCCAUGGAUCCUUCAGAAUCCAGACUGAAGGAGAUGAGGAUCCUUCAGAAUCCAGACUGAAGGAGAUGAGGAUCCUUCAGAAUCCAGAUUGAAGGAGAUGAAUUACGUCGUCUUCAAUAUUUAUACGUGACUUGAAGAUCCACAGGUGGUGGGGCUUGUAAGUAGCUCUCUCAUCAACAAGAUGUGCAUUAAUCUGAAAACUAGAAAAAGGAAAUGCACAGCUAAAGUCCUACAUUCAUCUGUCAUUUUCUUGCUAUAUAUUGAACCCCUAUCACUUCUAUAAUACAAAGAAAGCACUUAACUCUAUGGCUUGGCAUGACUACUUUGAUUAUGUAACGUUUGUAUCUUGUUCUGCUCAAGAUGAUAUAUGCAAAUGAAGUGGAUGAUUCUUUUGACAGAUUGAGAUUGACAGUGGAGGGCAAGGAAGAUAUUGAUGUUGCAGAAAAAGAGAAAAGUAGUUUGUUGAUGUAGCUCAGGUAUUCUUAGCAAACCAGGUAGAAAUUAAGGACUUGAAUUGAUAGUAAAAAUUGCUGUGCUGGUACUUGGUAGUAGGGAGUGUCUUGCGGACUCUGAAAAUAUCAGGCUGCUAAAUUUUGAGGUGCGCAUUGUUUUCCAAAAACCAGGCGGGUAAAUUGACAUGGGAAACAUUAUUUUCUUUUAUGCCAACCUUUCCAGAUUUGCAGUAGCAGAAAAUUGUUUAUCGUUGCAAGCCAGUGAUGAAUUCUUUUGUGAUUGUUCUUGCUAUGUGACAUGUGAGACAAUGACGAGGAGAGGGAGACAACAACAGACAGAGAGAGGGCCAAAAGCUAAUGUGGCAUGCAUUUCUUUGUAUUUUUUUUUUUUUUUUUU